GAGGAAUUUGCUAGCUGUUCCGCCUUGAAUCUGUCACUCGAAUGCUUAGGCACUUAAAAAAAAAAUUGAGGGGGAAAUAUAAUAAGUUGCCGUUGCCGUUGUUCUGUCUUCAGAGUUAUGACAUCCAUUUGAGAACAAAACAGCAGAGUGUUAAGGAGGGUAAUUCAGCUUUUAACGUUAAGCUAGAUGACAAUAAUAAGACUCUUUGUCCAGGAAAAAACUAUAAGGGACCUAACGGGAUUCCUUUAAGACCAUUUUCUCCUGAAUAUUUGCUAUUGUUAAAGCACGUUCCUGAUCCUUAUAGACUUCUUUUUUAUUUACCUAAAGAUUUAAUAUUACCAUUAAAAUUAUUAUGCGUACACGAGUUUGACAGCUCUUACAGUUUGCAGCCUUCGGAGUCCAUGACUCUUUCGGAGCUAGAUACAGUCAUUCUUAAUUUCUUAACAGAUCAAAAAUUUUUAACUGUUAAAAUGUUCAAUAAAAAUUUUGAAGCUUUUUCCGGCGAUCUACGCUUUCUUGAAGAGGCACG